UCGAGGAUAUUUAGCAAUGGGGGAAACCCUGACUAUGUGACGCCGCGUGAGGGAUGAAGGUCUUCGGAUUGUAAACCUCUUUCGAUGCGGAAGAAACCCCCGUUUAACUAACGGGAUUGACGGUACGCAGAGAAGAAGCCAUGGCCAACUCUGUGCCAGCAGCCGCGGUAAUACAGAGAUGGCGAGCGUUACUCGGAUUUAUUGGGUGUAAAGGGCAGGUAGGUGUUCUACCAAGUUAGGAGUGAAAUCCUGCAGCUCAACUGCAGAACUGCUUCUAAAACUGAUAGAAUUGAGGCCAGAAGAGGAGAGCGGAAUUCCCGGUGUAAGGGUGAAAUCUGUAGAUAUCGGGAGGAACGCCAGAGGCGAAAGCGGCUCUCUAGUCUGGUCCUGACACUAAGCUGCGAAAGCUAGAGGAGCAAACAGG
rnacentral:rRNA from 1 species